CGCCUUGCCAGCCCGCUCAGAACUACAAAGGAAUUGACGGGGCCCGCACAAGCGGUGGAGCAUGUGGUUUAAUUCGAUGAUACGCGAGGAACCUUACCUGGGCUCGAACGUAAGAUGACUGUAGGUGAAAGCUUACAUCUCUUCGGAGCAUUUUACGAGGUGCUGCAUGGUUGUCGUCAGCUCGUGCCGUGAGGUGUCGGGUUAAGUCCCAUAACGAGCGCAACCCCUACCUUUAGUUGCCAUCAGGUUAAGCUGGGGACUCUAAAGGAACUGCCUACGCAAGUAGUGAGGAAGGCGGGGAUGACGUCAAAUCAGCACGGCCCUUACGUCCAGGGCUACACACGUGCUACAAUGGCCGAUACAGAGGGCAGCUACCUGGUGACAGGAUGCAAAUCUCCAAAGUCGGUCUCAGUUCGGAUCGGAGUCUGCAACCCGACUCCGUGAAGUUGGAUUCGCUAGUAAUCGCGCAUCAGCCAUGGCGCGGUGAAUACGUUCCCGGGCCUU
rnacentral:rRNA from 1 species